rnacentral:lncRNA from 1 species
AAAGUUUUAUGUUCGAAUUCUCCUUUUUGACCAAUUUAAAAAGAAAAAUGCUUCAAUUAAUGGUCCGAGAUAGGAGUGGCUCUCUUAAAAAUAUACAAUUUUUUUUUUCGUUCAUGUGUAGUUCUUGUUUUUGAAGAUGAAGAUUUGAGUAUAAUUUUGUAAACCAAAAUAGUACUCUUUUUUUCUUUUUUUUUUCCGUGAGUUUGACCAAGGACAAAUACAUGUUAAAAUCAAACAAACAAAGCAUGCAUCCAUCGCCUACAAAUAUGUACAAAAUGAAUGUAGUUACACAAAAUAUGUAAGAACAAGAGAUGAAAUUGUUUAUUUUAAAUUUCUAAUAUAUAAUUUAACAUAAUUAAUCUCAAGAGAUUAAGAUUAGUGGACGGAUUGCCCAUAAGAUGUGGAGCGGUGGUCCUGUUUCUUAGUUUUAUUUUAUUCUAAUAAUUUUCAAAAACGCUUUAGGAGUUUGAUGUGAUUUUCUAUUUAUGAUUUUUAUUUAUUUUUAGCUUUC